rnacentral:rRNA from 1 species
GGGUCAUUAGGUUGGUCGUGCCACCGGUACGUACUGGUCUCACUGGUUCCUCCUUCCUGAAGAACCGUAAUGCCAUUAAUUUGGUGUUGCGGGGAAACAGGACUGUUACUUUGAAAAAAUUAGAGUGUUUAAAGCAAGCUAACGCUUGAAUACACUAGCAUGGAAUAAUGAAAUAGGACGAUCGAUCCUAUUUUGUUGGUUUCUAGGAUUGACGUA